rnacentral:rRNA from 1 species
CAUUACUCCUACGGGAGGCAGCAGUGGGGAAUAUUGGACAAUGGGGGCAACCCUGAUCCAGCAAUGCCGCGUGAGUGAUGAAGGCCUUCGGGUCGUAAAGCUCUUUUACCAGGGAUGAUAAUGACAGUACCUGGAGAAUAAGCUCCGGCUAACUCCGUGCCAGCAGCCGCGGUAAUACGGAGGGAGCUAGCGUUGUUCGGAAUUACUGGGCGUAAAGCGCACGUAGGCGGUUACUCAAGUCAGAGGUGAAAGCCCGGGGCUCAACCCCGGAACUGCCUUUGAAACUAGGUGACUGGAAUCUUGGAGAGGCGAGUGGAAUUCCGAGUGUAGAGGUGAAAUUCGUAGAUAUUCGGAAGAACACCAGUGGCGAAGGCGACUCGCUGGACAAGUAUGACGCUGAGUGCGAAAGCCUGGAAAGCC